rnacentral:tRNA from 1 species
AAUCAAAAGCCUUCAGCUUACAAUUGAACAAUGCUAGUGCAGAUCUAGCCUUUAUGAGCCCACUCUAGCUCA